rnacentral:rRNA from 1 species
GAUGAACGCUGGCGGCGUGCCUAACACAUGCAAGUCGAACGAAAUGUCCUAAUCUUUUUUGUUUAGUUGAUUGCGGGGUAGUAACGCGUAAGAACUGACCCCUGACCUGCACACACGGGCACGACAUCGGGGCUAAUAUCCGAAACUCACCGAACUUCCAAUAGCGUCGGAGUCAAUAUAGCAAUAGGCUCUGGGAAAGGCCUGCGGGCUAUCAGCUUGUUGGUGAGGUAAUGGCUCACCAAGGCUAUGACGGAUAGGGGCCGUGAGAGCGCGACCCGUACCAAGGGAACUGCGACACGGACCAUACACAUACGGGUGGCUGGAGUCAAGAACAUUCGACAAUGGGCGAAAGCCGGAUCGAGCGACGCCGGGUGCGAGAAGAAGCUUUUCGGAGCGUAAACCGCUUGUAUAGGGGAAAAACGCAAGUGAUAGUACCCGAUGAAUAAGGCCUGGCUAACCUCGUG